rnacentral:misc_RNA from 1 species
AAUAUAUCGCUCGCGCUCUGAUCGAUAACGGAUCUAUGAAUGACUUUGUUACUAUUAAUCUUUGUAAGAAAUUAUCAUUAAAAAUUAAUUCGCUUCCUGAAAAAGUUACUGUAAACGGGUUAAGGGACAAACAAAUAUUAAAUUUUACUCGCGUUUUGAUCGCAAUAUUUCUUUUAAUUUACAACCACUUGUUGUGGAAAAUAUUACGGACCGCAUUCCUACGUUACCUAUUGAUAGGUCGAUGUUAGCAUAUCUUUCCCGCACGCCGCUUGCUGAUGAUACAUUCUCUGAUCCCGGUGAGGUCGAGAUGUUGAUUGGCGCUAAGUUAUUUA